AAUUUUCUUUUCAAGUCGCCUAAAGUGGAUUCAUCUUUAAAGGCCACAGACCAAAUGUAGUAUCUUGAUCAUCAUUAUAGUUCUACAUUCCAACAUAAUAGUUGGAGCAUAGAGAUUGAGUGGAGUUCAGUCAAUUUUGUGAUUGUAUUGGUAAUGGCAGACAAGGUAUUUGGGCCGAAUGCGACAACGGGGGAGGUUUACGAUAUUGCUACUCAGCCUAUUGUGAAAUCUUCAAUGGAUGGUAUUAAUGGGAAGGGAUAGGAAAAUUUUCUAAAAGACACGUGCUGGAGCUCGCAGAUAAAGUGGAUGGCAAUGAAGGCAUCUGGGGCGUACAAGAACUGCAAGCCAUGUGCGGGAGGGAGGAGUGAGAAUUGGAAGAGUUAUGAGGAAUCAAAUGGUGGGUCUAUUUCUUCAAGGAGAUUCAAAGAGCGGAUUCCACGGUGGUAGGUAUGGCAAAGAUUUGGGGGAAAGAAUUGGGAGGGAGGGUUAUGGUAAGGGAAUUGGGAUGGGGAUUUCGAGCGGCAAGGCAACGCCGGUAUGGAUUAGUAGGAGGUCGGAAUUAGUGGUGUUUAUGGAGGAGGAUGAGCCUAAAGAGUGGGUUGCCCAGGUGAGCUUGGUGUUGUUAUUACAUUUUUUCCGCACUCCAAGGUGGUAAUGAUCUCAAGCUCAUUCAUUUUAGGUUUUUAGCCUAAUGCUCAUCUGCUUGGGGAAGAACAACAAGCUGUACCGCAACGAAACCCGAUGGAAGAACAGCAAGCUGCACAAGUUGCAGAGCAAGCUGCACAACAAGCUGCAGAGCGAGCUGUACUGCGAGUUGCACAAUGAGCUGCACAACAAGUUGUACAUGAAGCUGCUAUGGUGGCUCAUGGGGAAGAUAAGCUUGUUAUGGCGGAUGAGGAGGAAGGCGCUAUUGAUGUGAUGGCUCGGGACGAGAACAAGCUUACUAAGAAAGAGAUUUUCCAGCAAGAGGGUGCCUGAAUUUGACCCCUCUGCAUUCUGUUAAGGGCUUCUUUUGUUAUUUGCCCUCUUUUAUUGUUGCUUCAAACUUUUGGAUCUCAUCUCUAUGUUUAAUGCCCCAGUGUCGUCUUUAAUAAACAAACAUUUCGUAAUGUUGUGUAAUUUCCAAUUUGUACCCUUGAUUACCGAGGCACAUGCUGGAUUUUUUUUGUUAAUCUUGAAGGUUGGCAUCUCAUGCUAUAUUCAUAUUUUGA